rnacentral:rRNA from 1 species
UACGGAGGGUGCAAGCGUUAUCCGGAUUUACUGGGUUUAAAGGGUGCGCAGGCGGAUAUGUAAGUCAGUGGUGAAAUCUCCGGGCUUAACCCGGAACUGCCGUUGAUACUAUAUAUCUUGAAUGCUGUGGAGGUAAGCGGAAUAUGUCAUGUAGCGGUGAAUGCUUAGAUAUGACAUAGAACACCUAUUGCGAAGGCAGCUUACUACACAGAUAUUGACGCUCAUGCACGAAAGCGUGGGGAUCAAACAGG